rnacentral:rRNA from 1 species
UAAAUUGUUCAUUAAUUGUGAACUGGAAUGAGGGAAAAAUGGUUUAUUACUGUCUUUGGAUCAAUAUAUUGAAUUUGGAAUUUUUGUAAAAAUACAAAAAUAUUUUUUAGGGACAAGAAGACCCUAUAAAGCUUUAUUAAUUUAAAUAAUUAUAUAAUUUCUUAAAUUAAUUUGAUUGGGGCAAUUAUUUAUAUACAAUAAAUAUAAAUUAAUUUUUUAUAUUAAUAUUAGAAUAAAAUGAUCCAUUAUUAAUGAAAUUUGUUUAAGUUACUUUAGGGAUAACAGGAUAAUUUUUAUUAGAAAGUUCUUAUUAAUAAUAAAGUUUAUUACCUCGAUGUUGAAUUAAUUUAAUUUAAUGGUGAAACCACCAUUUAAAUUUGACUGUUCGUCAAUUAAAUAAUUACAUGAUCUGAGUUC